rnacentral:rRNA from 1 species
UACGGAGGGUGCAAACGUUGCUCGGAAUCAUUGGGCGUAAAGCGCACGUAGGCGGCCGAUUAAGUCGGGUGUGAAAGCCCUGGGCUCAACCCAGGAAGUGCACUCGAAACUGACCGGCUUGAAUAUGGAAGAGGGUUGCGGAAUUCCCGGUGUAGAGGUGAAAUGCGUAGAGAUGUGGAGGAACACCGAUGGCGAAGGCAGCCCCCUGGGCUAACACUGACGCUCAUGCACGAAAGCGUGGGGAGCAAACAGG